GCUGCCACCCCUGCAACAUACCCAGAGAAGAAGAGGUGAGCUGGGGGAGGCAGCCAAGCUCUGGCUCAGCACCUGCUCCUCACCAGGCACUCGACAGGCACCAUCUCACUUAAUCCUUCCAAGAAGGACUUCCCACUGAGGCCCAGAGAGGCCCAGUUACUUGCCCAAGGUCACCUAGCUCAAGGGUGGAGGAGACAGAACCGGAACACAGAACUGGAAGGAGGUACUUUCAUCCGUAUUGAACAACUGGGAAAACUGAGGCUCCCAAAGAGAAGUGGCUCGUCCAAGAUCACGCAGCCGGUGUAUCUGUCCCAAAGCUGCAUGCUCCGUCAAAGAGGACGACCACCCUCGAUAGAGGAGGGCCGCCGGUCUUUGGUCAAGAGUAUGCGAGUAGCGGCGCUCACCUGCUAGAACCUCCGAACAAGCUCUCAAGAAGAGGCUGGGGGA